rnacentral:rRNA from 1 species
CUUGGUCAUUUAGAGGAAGUAAAAGUCGUAACAAGGUUUCCGUAGGUGAACCUGCGGAAGGAUCAUUAUUGAAAUAAACCUGAUGGGUUGUUGCUGGUUCUCUAGGGAGCAUGUGCACGCCUUGUCAUCUUUAUAUCUCCACCUGUGCACCUUUUGUAGACCUUUCAGGUCUAUGUUGCUUCAUUUACCCCAUGUAUGUUAAUAGAAUGUUGUGCCUAUAUAAUAUAUACAACUUUCAGCAACGGAUCUCUUGGCUCUGGCAUCGAUGAAGAACGCAGCGAAAUGCGAUAAGUAAUGUGAAUUGCAGAAUUCAGUGAAUCAUCGAAUCUUUGAACGCAUCUUGCGCUCCUUGGUAUUCCGAGGAGCAUGCCUGUUCGAGUGUCAUCAAAAGUUCUCAACCACACCGGUUCUUCUGGCGUGGCUUGGAUUUGGGGGUUUGCAGGCUUUGAACAGAAGUCGGCUCCCCUGAAAAGGAUUAGCAGUAUCUGAGCGGGAGACUACGUCGGGCGUGAUAAAUCAUCUAUGCCUCGGUGUACCCGAUGUGUGAGACUGCUUCUAACUGAGUGUUGACAAGUUUGACCUCGAAUCAGGUAGGACUACCCGCUGAACUUAAGCAUAUCAAUAAGCGGAGGA